rnacentral:lncRNA from 1 species
GGUCAAACCCACUCUUCUUCUCUUCUCUGCUCAAAAACAAUUCGUAGUUUCCCCAAUUUGGAUUUCGGUUCCCCAAGCACUGGAGCCUAUUAAAAAAAUCCACUCAUCUUACAAUCCUUUAGAGUGGUUUGAUUUCAUAAGAUUAAACUGGCGGUGGAUUGGUGUUCGCAUUUUCUCUCGCCGCUGCUCUGACCAGGUUUUUUCAAUCGAAAUCGACAACGACGGUGGACUUGAAACCGAUAAUAGUUAGGUUUUGUUGAAUAAAAGGGGUUUUUCAUCGAUUGCUUUAGGGUUUUAAUUUUUGAGUUAAGUGAAAUGCCAGGUUAUAUCUUUGUCAAGGGGGCAUGUUCAAAUGCACUUAACCACAUUGAAAUCUUAUGAAGCUGAGGACCUGAGGUACUAUGAGAUUGCAUAUUAUAAGCUGAGGUACUAAGUUUGUUAACCUGAUUCUUUUUUAAGUGUUUUUAUUACACUUGAAAUCAAAUUUUUUUGUUUAAUUUCAUAAAGUCAGUGAUAGCCUGGAGAUCAUUUAUAUGGGCCCAUCUUUAGUCCCUUCAAAUCGCAUUUUCACCGUAAACUCAGUGAGGGGUUGUCUAUGUCUGUCUACUACUGGUAAAUUGUCCUCUUACUAUAAUAUAUGAUGCUUACUUUUUUUUGAACGACACAGAACGAUGUGCCAAGCACCGUGACACCGGGUGCUGUGGUCAAGGUCGACUACUCGACCACCGCCAGCCCCUUGGCUCUCCCAGAUGCGCGGAAACCCGACCUCCACCCACCCGAAGGGUUUAAAUACAGUCAAUUAGGGCAUAAAUCUUGCUUUUGUCCUUGUAUGCCUGUUGUUUUCGCCUACACUAUCUCUUUUUCAGCAGCAGUUGAUUUCUAAGUCAAAAAAAUGCAAAACCAUUCAUCAGGAAGGGUUUGGGUCGCAUAGUCAUGAAGUGGCCAAGGGUUACGUGAGGAGGGAUUUGAGGCCGAAGGAUCGAAGUUUCAGUGAGAAGAUUACGUUGUUUUGUUCAUAGAACUAUACCAAGAAUCUGAGACCGUCUGAUCAAGCUGAGAUGAGAUCUCAGCCAUUUAAACUACAUAUUUCUUCUGGAAGCAGAGGUUACCGGAGGUUACAGGCGGGUUGGAGGUUUAGGUUUCCAGUUUCGCAUUUUAUCUGCCAUCCAAAAUCUCGGAAUGAUUACAGCCUCUCUUCAUCAUAUGCCUGAUUUGGAUUAUCGUUGAAUCAAGAGCUUUUUUCCGUUGAUUGAUACGUUUCACUUGUGUACUAAUCAUAGUUAUGAAAUUUACUGUCAAUUUUGUAUCGAUUUGCAUAUUUAGGGUUUUAAUUUUCUUUUGUGAUGUCAGUUAGCCAUUAGUCAUCCCUCUGAUCUGAGGCCUAGCGCACGAAUUGAGGUCCGCUGUAACCGUAAGGUUGCACUGCUCAUAUCACUGAAAAUCACCCAUUCAUAAUCAUUACAGAUUCAUACCUCACCGAAGAUCCUUUCAGAAAAGAGAGAGUAAAAUCUAAUCAUACAUGUGAAGAAAUAUCUCAAAACCAUCAAGCUCAUGAACAAUUAUUGCGACAUCUUCAGGCUCAAAAUCAUGAGUUUGCUAGCAUCUUCAAUAUAGAGGACUACAGAGGAUUGGGAUGAGUAAAAUCCUCCUCAGAUUAUAACAAAACUAUGUGGCUUUGUGACAAUCCUUUUUGGAACAUUCAUACACAAAACCAAAGACAUGGUUGAUGAGAUUGUUCUGCAUAGAAGAAAAAACGAGGACCGGGAGUUAGAAGAAAUGAGCAGUUGGAACAACAUUUCAAGAAAUCGAAAAGUGAUAAUUUCGUUAUCACGAUGUCCAGGCAGUGUGAUCGAGUAAUUUUGCCUUUUAAUAUUGUUCUUUUUUUUUUUCUAGAUCAAUGAGUCCAGGCAGUGUGAUCGAGUAAUUUUGCCUUCUAAUAUUGUUCUUUUUUUUUCUGAUCAAUGACCUAAUUCUUGGUAAUUUAAGGUUUAUACUCUGACUAACAUUUGAUGUAAUGUUUUUGUUUAUAAUCAUUAUGCACUUGAUGCAAGUUUUUGUUUACAAUCGAAAACCCAUUUUAGCAGCCCAAUUGGAAACUUGACUACCGAUUACAUUGACCUUAGUUAACCUAAAUGGAA